GCCUCGGCCUCCCAGAGUGUUAGGAUUAAAGGCGUGAGCCACCGCGCCUGGCCCAGAGCACAGCUUUUGAUGUGAUAUUAUAUACUACAUAUCUCUAAUUAUCUUUCAAAAUAUCUCUUUAAUUAUAUUGAUAUCAUUCAUUAUAUUAUGAAUGGUAUAACUUUAAAAUAACUAUCUUUUUUUUCUCCAAAAUGCUUGCUAAGUAUUUAAACUCUGAAAUGUAUUUAGUCUUCAUUUUCUUUCUGGCUAAAUCUAUUUUUGCACUCUCUGGGGGACUUGCAAGAAAAUAAUUGACUGAGUUUAAGGUGAGAUUUCUAUGUUAUAUGUUUUGCAAUUAUACUUGAUUUGCCACAACUUAGAGUUCAUGUUUUGAUUUGGUCGUAAUUACUAGAUCUGCUUCUACCGUUGAUCUAAUUAUCUUCUUGGUGAGCUGUAUAUCCUUAGUUAACUCUCUAUUUCUGCGUAAUUUGAUUGGUAUAAGGAACGUGGAGGACCUUGCAUCUACACUUUAAUCCUUUGUUACUGGAACUAAUUGCAAGAUUCACCUGUGUUUUUAAUGCAUAUGCUUCCAUGGGUGAAUCUUUAUGCUUUGCGUAAAUGUUGGUAUUUUCUAUAUUUCUUAGCAUUAUCUAUUUUAUUUUAAUAUUUACUACUCAUGUAAUAUAGUCUAUAUCUUAUGCAUUUUCAUUGUCAACAAAUUCAAAAUGGGCAAAUGGAAUUCACAAUUCUUACUUGCUGGAAGAUAAAUAUAGAAUCUGCAGUGGCUUCCUUUUUCUGAAUCCAUGUUAAUUCCUCUUGAAGGAACCAUAUUUCUUUCUAUAUGCACUUAAGUUACUCCUUAAAACACAGAGAUAUAAUUUGGAUGCUAUCGACAGCAGAACAAUGCCCUUAAUUUUCACCGCUUUCCGUUCCUUCCCUGGUUUAUUUCUGAUUAAAUGUGCCACCCACUGUCUCACAUUUCAUUGGAUCUCUGUGUGACCAUCAUCAUCAGCCACAAAAUAUAUGCCAAUUUCUAACUACCUGCUGGGUCCUCAAGAUUUAAAACAUACGACUUGGGCUUUGCCCUCAAGGAGCUUGCAGUUUAGUUGGAGAGAAUCCAGAAGAAGACCAGCCACUGAGCAUAUUAACCAAAGAGACAGAAACAGUGUAACAGAGCUGGAGAAGGGAAAAAUGAAGAUGGUUCCUGCACAGCUCCAGGAGCUGUAGCAAUACGCGUGAUCUCCCAGGACUUCCCAGUGUGUGUACGUGGUGCUGCACUAACUUCUCCCAUAUAGUGUCUGCUGGGUCCUCAUCUAUUAAGGGGAUAUUAACUCUGAAUCACAGAAUCUUAGAACUGGCAUGGAGGUCAGAGGUCAUUUACUCCAACCUGUUCAUUUUAAAAAAUGGCAAUCUGAGGCCCAAAGAUGUUAAGCAGCUUGGCCAAGGUCAUGUAGCUAGUUUAGUAACGAAAUUGGAACCAUAAACCAUGUCUUCUGAUAGCUGGUCUAGUGCACUUUCUGCUACACCUCUGAUCAAUGGCAUUUUCUCACCAUCAGAUCACAUGUUCAUUUAUUCAUUCCUUUCCAAGAAGGAGCAUCUGCCUGUGUGAGGCACUGGGGCUACAACAUGAGUGACAUGAGGCCACAUUGUCAGGGGAUAAGUCAGGGGAACAACAAAAUCAGCCUCCAAACUGAGACCCUUUGAAAAAGUGAGAGGGUCUAAUAAUAAGCCAUUUGUGCACAUCAGGUGUACACCAGGACUCAGUACCACUAUGGAUCUGUACAGGACAUAUACACAGUCUACUUGGGACACUGUGAGGGCACAAAGGUGGGAGGGGCCCACCUGCAUCUGCUGGUAGCGGGAGGGGUGUCCAGUCAGGGAAGGCUUCUUGGAGGAGGCAGUGCUUGAGCUAACUUAAAAGUUACUGGUUACCGGACGGGCUCAGUGGCUCACGCCUGCAAUCCUAGCACUCUGGGAGGCCGAGGGAAACUAUAGCAGAGGCAGUGGGCAGGCCAAGAGGACAAGGCCACAUUUGACAUGCGGAGUCUGAGGGACUCUGAGACCCCUGCUGCUGGCCUUGCGAGGACCGGAAAGGAGGAGAGCAGUCUGCGCUGGGUCUGACGGUCCGGGAACCGCCAACGCCAGAUCCAGGUCUCAAGAGGACCAUGCGCAGGAGGAGGCCCGGGUCCCAGGGCCCAGGCCGCGGAGAGGAGAAUGUGGCCAGCCACUGUCGGUGCCCCACAGCUGCUUGAAGAAUGGAUGGAUGUGCCAAGUACUGACCAGCGGAGAGAGAGGAGCCUGUGAAAGCAGCGGAGAAGGAAAGACCAGAGCGGCAGGAGAGACACAAUGAGAGCAGCGUAGAGGAGAGUGUCUCGGAGAGAGGGGUCAAGGGGUGGCAGAGUGGGAGGACCACCCGGAAGGAACCAUUAUGACAUCACUGGCGGCUUUAACAGCAAUGUCGGGGAAGUUGGGGUGAGCGGUAGGGGUGUCGGCAUGCAGUGAGCCGAGAAUGAAUAGGAAGAAAAGAUGACAAGUGUAGACACUUCUUUUAAGGAACCUGGCUAUGAAAAGAAGAACAGAGGGAAGACAGGGUGGGAUUGUAAUGGGAAAGUAAAUAGUUUGUGUGUGGCCUGCAAGAA